rnacentral:misc_RNA from 1 species
GAUGAAGAACGUAGCGAAAUGCGAUAAGUAAUGUGAAUUGCAGAAUUCAGUGAAUCAUCGAAUCUUUGAACGCACAUUGCGCCCGCCAGUAUUCUGGCGGGCAUGCCUGUCCGAGCGUCAUUUCAACCCUCGCGCCCAUCUGGGCUGCGGUGUUGGGGACCGGCUUGCCCCCCCGGGGCGCGCCGCCCCCCAAAUUCAGUGGCGGUCUCGCUGCAGCCUCCCUUGCGUAGUAGCACACCUCGCACCGGAGCGCAGCGCGGCCACGCCGUAAAACCCCCGACCCCCAUGAGUUUGACCUCGGAUCAGGUAGGAAUACCCGCUGAACUUAAGCAUAUCAAUAAGCGGAGGGA